rnacentral:rRNA from 1 species
UACGGAGGGGGCGAGCGUUAUUCGGAAUUAUUGGGCGUAAAGGGCGCGUAGGCGGCGCGGUAAGUCACUUGUGAAAUCUCUGAGCUUAACUCAGAACGGCCAAGUGAUACUGCAGUGCUAGAGUGCAGAAAGGGCAAUCGGAAUUCUUGGUGUAGCGGUGAAAUGCGUAGAUAUCAAGAGGAACACCUGAGGCGAAGGCGGGUUGCUAGGCUGACACUGACGCUGAGUGCGCGAAAGCCAGGGGAGCAAACGGG